rnacentral:rRNA from 1 species
UACGGAGGAUGCGAGCGUUAUCCGGAUUUAUUGGGUUUAAAGGGUGCGCAGGCGGAGGUGCAAGUCAGUGGUCAAAUUGCGGGGCUCAACCCCGUCGAGCCGUUGAAACUGGCAGACUUGAGUUGGCGAGAAGUACGCGGAAUGCGCGGUGUAGCGGUGAAAUGCAUAGAUAUCGCGCAGAACUCCGAUUGCGAAGGCAGCGUACCGGCGCCAGACUGACGCUGAGGCACGAAAGCGUGGGGAUCGAACAGG